AUGAACGCUGGCGGCGUGCUUAACACAUGCAAGUCGAACGAUGAUCCCAGCUUGCUGGGGGAUUAGUGGCGAACGGGUGAGUAACACGUGAGUAACCUGCCCUUGACUCUGGGAUAAGCCUGGGAAACUGGGUCUAAUACCGGAUAUGACCAUCUGACGCAUGUCAUGGUGGUGGAAAGCUUUUUUGUGGUUUUGGAUGGACUCGCGGCCUAUCAGCUUGUUGGUGGGGUAAUGGCCUACCAAGGCGACGACGGGUAGCCG
rnacentral:rRNA from 1 species